CACAAAUGGGCGGCCAUUGGAUGUGGGACACGCCAAGAACUGGCAGCCAUUGGAGAUUUGGACAACCCAAGAUGGCGGCUAUUGGUGACACAAGAUGGCGGCCAUUGGGUUUGGACACCCAAGAUGGCGGCCAUUGGUGACACAAGAUGGCGGCCAUUGGCUUUGGACACCCAAGAUGGCGGCCAUUGGAUUUGGACACCCAAGAUGGCGGCUAUUGGUGACACAAGAUGGCGGCCAUUGAACAUGGACACUCAAGAUGGCGGCAUUGAAAAUUGGAAUAUUAGCUUUGGGGACAACAAGAUGGCGGCCAUUGGUGACACAAGAUGGCGGCCAUUGGCUUUGGACACCCAAGAUGGCGGCCAUUGCCAUUGGAUAUUGGCUUUGGUGACACAAGAUGGCGGCCAUUGGCUUUGGACACCCAAGAUGGCGGCCAUUGGUGACACAAGAUGGCAGCCAUUGGCUUUGGACACUGAAGAUGGCGGCCAAUGGACCCAUCAGAAAGCCAAUAUGGUCAUAAAUUGGACCCAAUCGAGAAACCAAUUGGACCCAUCAGAACCCUUGGGACCCAUCAGAACCCAUUGGGACCCAUCAAACCAAAUUGGACCAUCAGAACCAUUGGACCCAUCAGAACCGAAUUGGGACCAUCAGAACGCCAUUGGACCAUCAGAACCAAUUGGACCCAUAUCAAAGCAACCAAUUGCGGUCAGCAAUGGACCCAGUCAGCCCCAUUGGACCCAUCAGAACCAAUUGGACCCAUCAGAACCAAUUGGGACCCAUCAGAACCCAUUGGACCCAUCAGAACCAAUUGGGACCCAUCAGAACCCAUUGGGCCCAUCAGAACCCAUUGGACCCAUCAGAACCAAUAUUGGGUCAGCAUUGGACCCAUCAGAACCCAUUGGACCCAUCAGAACCCAUUGGGACCCAUCAGAACCCAUUGGGACCCAUCAGAACCAAUUGGGACCCAUCAGAACCCUCUGGGACCCAUUCAGAACCACUAUUGGGUCCAGUAAUUGGACCCAUCAGAACCAUUGACC
rnacentral:lncRNA from 1 species